rnacentral:tRNA from 2 species
GGAGAGGUGUCCGAGUGGUUGAAGGAGCACGCCUGGAAAGUGUGUAAACGGGUCAAACCGUUUCGCGGGUUCGAAUCCCGCUCUCUCCGCCA